CAUAGCUGUACGCUAUACGUAAUGAUCCCACUUAACAGGUCCAAGACUUAGCCCAGUGCAGAACCCUGCCUGUCCUGGAGACCACCCAGGCUGACACUUGGGAGCCAUACCUGGGAACUGCUCCCCUUCAGACUCUUCCUUCAGCUGCUCACUCCGCCGGCUCUCUCGGGCCUCCCUCCAGCGUAGCUUUUGGAUGGAUGGAUUUCGAAGGCAUUUUCGGAUGCGGCACUUUUUUCGCUG
ensembl:lncRNA SPON1-AS1 SPON1 antisense RNA 1